rnacentral:rRNA from 1 species
UACGUAGGGGGGCUAGCGUUGUCCGGAUUUAUUGGGCGUAAAGAGCGUGUAGGCGGCCAUGUAGGUCCGGUGUGAAAACUCGAGGCUUAACCUCGAGAUGUCAUCGGAAACCAUUUGGCUAGAGUCCGGAAGAGGAGAGUGGAAUUCCUGGUGUAGCGGUGAAAUGCGCAGAUAUCAGGAGGAACACCAGUGGCGAAGGCGGCUCACUGGACCGGUUCUGACGCUGAGGCGCGAAAGCGUGGGGAGCAAACGGG